CUAGGUUUGCUCUCAAAAUAGUAUUAUAAAGUAAAAUUUGAAUAUAGUUUUAAAACCUUAGAAGCUUUGUCCGAAGCUAUGAAAUCCUUGAGGGAAACUGGGAUUAGAUACCCCAUUAUUCUAGGAUAUAAAACUUUUACCAGGGCACUACGAACAAUGUUUAAAACCCAAAGAGCUUGGCGGUAUUUUAGACCCCCCAGGGGAACCUGUCUCAUAAUCGAUGAUCCACGUUAUACCUGACCUUAUUUAGUUUGUUUGUAUACCGUCGUCGUCAGGUAACUUCCAAAAAGAAAAAAGUUAGCAAGUAACACAAAAGUGUUUGACGUCAGAUCAAGGUGCAGCUUAUAAUAGGGGGAGGAUGGGUUACAAUUAUUAAAUUAUAAAUAUGAAUAAGGUUAGUUGAAAAUUUCUUUGAAGGCGGACUUGGAAGUAAAAAUAUUUAGAUAUAUGCUUUGAAUAAGGCUCUGAAAUGU
rnacentral:rRNA from 1 species